rnacentral:rRNA from 2 species
CCUCCUUGUAGCNNUACAAGGCAGACGGCUCANUCCCGCGUAGUCAACCUAACCUAUGGACGGGAAUAACCUCGGGAAACUGAGUAUAAUGCCCGAUAGAACAUUAUGCCUGGAAUGGUUUAUGUUCCAAAUGAUUUAUCGCCGUAGGAUGGGACUGCGGCCUAUCAGUUUGUUGGUGAGGUAAUGGCCCACCAAGACUAUUACAGGUACGGGCUCUGAGAGGAGUGGCCCGGAGAUGGGUACUGAGACACGGACCCAGGCCCUAUGGGGCGCAGCAGGCGAGAAAACUUUGCAAUGUGCGAAAGCACGACAAGGUUAAUCCGAGUGGUUUCUGCUAAAGGAACCUUUUGUCGGUCCUAGAAACACCGACGAAUAAGGGGUGGGCAAGUUCUGGUGUCAGCCGCCGCGGUAAAACCAGCACCUCAAGUGGUCAGGAUGAUUAUUGGGCCUAAAGCAUCCGUAGCCGGCUCUGUAAGUUUUCGGUUAAUCUGUACGCUUANCGUACAGGCCGCCGGGAAUACUGCANAACUAGGGAGUGGGAGAGGUAGA